rnacentral:rRNA from 1 species
UACCCUUGGUCAGGUUGAAGUUCAGGUAACACUGAAUGGAGGACCGAACCGACUUACGUUGAAAAGUGAGCGGAUGAACUGAGGGUAGCGGAGAAAUUCCAAUCGAACCUGGAGAUAGCUGGUUCUCUCCGAAAUAGCUUUAGGGCUAGCCUCAAGUGAUGAUUAUUGGAGGUAGAGCACUGUUUGGACGAGGGGCCCCUCUCGGGUUACCGAAUUCAGACAAACUCCGAAUGCCAAUUAAUUUAACUUGGGAGUCAGAACAUGGGUGAUAAGGUCCGUGUUCGAAAGGGAAACAGCCCAGACCACCAGCUAAGGUCCCAAAAUAUAUGUUAAGUGGAAAAGGAUGUGGCGUUGCCCAGACAACUAGGAUGUUGGCUUAGAAGCAGCCAUCAUUUAAAGAGUGCGUAAUAGCUCACUAGUCGAGUGACACUGCGCCGAAAAUGUACCGGGGCUAAACAUAUUACCGAAGCUGUGGAUUGUCCUUUGGACAAUGGUAGGAGAGCGUUCUAAGGGCGUUGAAGCAUGAUCGUAAGGACAUGUGGAGCGCUUAGAAGUGAGAAUGCCGGUGUGAGUAGCGAAAGACGGGUGAGAAUCCCGUCCACCGAUUGACUAAGGUUUCCAGAGGAAGGCUCGUCCGCUCUGGGUUAGUCGGGUCCUAAGCUGAGGCCGACAGGCGUAGGCGAUGGAUAACAGGUUGAUAUUCCUGUACCACCUAUAAUCGUUUUAAUCGAUGGGGGGACGCAGUAGGAUAGGCGAAGCGUGCGAUUGGAUUGCACGUCUAAGCAGUAAGGCUGAGUAUUAGGCAAAUCCGGUACUCGUUAAGGCUGAGCUGUGAUGGGGAGAAGACAUUGUGUCUUCGAGUCGUUGAUUUCACACUGCCGAGAAAAGCCUCUAGAUAGAAAAUAGGUGCCCGUACCGCAAACCGACACAGGUAGUCAAGAUGAGAAUUCUAAGGUGAGCGAGCGAACUCUCGUUAAGGAACUCGGCAAAAUGACCCCGUAACUUCGGGAGAAGGGGUGCUCUUUAGGGUUAACGCCCAGAAGAGCCGCAGUGAAUAGGCCCAAGCGACUGUUUAUCAAAAACACAGGUCUCUGCUAAACCGUAAGGUGAUGUAUAGGGGCUGACGCCUGCCCGGUGCUGGAAGGUUAAGAGGAGUGGUUAGCUUCUGCGAAGCUACGAAUCGAAGCCCCAGUAAACGGCGGCCGUAACUAUAACGGUCCUAAGGUAGCGAAAUUCCUUGUCGGGUAAGUUCCGACCCGCACGAAAGGCGUAACGAUUUGGGCACUGUCUCAACGAGAGACUCGGUGAAAUCAUAGUACCUGUGAAGAUGCAGGUUACCCGCGACAGGACGGAAAGACCCCGUGGAGCUUUACUGUAGCCUGAUAUUGAAAUUCGGCACAGCUUGUACAGGAUAGGUAGGAGCCUUUGAAACGUGAGCGCUAGCUUACGUGGAGGCGCUGGUGGGAUACUACCCUAGCUGUGUUGGCUUUCUAACCCGCACCACUUAUCGUGGUGGGAGACAGUGUCAGGCGGGCAGUUUGACUGGGGCGGUCGCCUCCUAAAAGGUAACGGAGGCGCUCAAAGGUUCCCUCAGAAUGGUUGGAAAUCAUUCAUAGAGUGUAAAGGCAUAAGGGAGCUUGACUGCGAGACCUACAAGUCGAGCAGGGUCGAAAGACGGACUUAGUGAUCCGGUGGUUCCGCAUGGAAGGGCCAUCGCUCAACGGAUAAAAGCUACCCCGGGGAUAACAGGCUUAUCUCCCCCAAGAGUUCACAUCGACGGGGAGGUUUGGCACCUCGAUGUCGGCUCAUCGCAUCCUGGGGCUGUAGUCGGUCCCAAGGGUUGGGCUGUUCGCCCAUUAAAGCGGUACGCGAGCUGGGUUCAGAACGUCGUGAGACAGUUCGGUCCCUAUCCGUCGUGGGCGUAGGAAAUUUGAGAGGAGCUGUCCUUAGUACGAGAGGACCGGGAUGGACAUACCUCUGGUGUACCAGUUGUCGUGCCAACGGCAUAGCUGGGUAGCUAUGUGUGGACGGGAUAAGUGCUGAAAGCAUCUAAGCAUGAAGCCCCCCUCAAGAUGAGAUUUCCCAACUUCGGUUAUAAGAUCCCUCAAAGAUGAUGAGGUUAAUAGGUUCGAGGUGGAAGCAUGGUGACAUGUGGAGCUGACGAAUACUAAUCGAUCGAAGAC